rnacentral:rRNA from 1 species
ACGAACGCUGGCGGCAUGCCUAACACAUGCAAGUCGAACGAGACCUUCGGGUCUAGUGGCGCACGGGUGCGUCACGCGUGGGAACCUGCCCUUAGGUUCGGAAUAACUCCCCGAAAGGGGUGCUAAUACCGGAUAAUGUCUUCAGACCAAAGAUUUAUCGCCUUUGGAUGGGCCCGCGUUGGAUUAGCUAGUUGGUAGGGUAAAAGCCUACCAAGGCGACGAUCCAUAGCUGGUCUGAGAGGAUGAUCAGCCACACUGGGACUGAGACACGGCCCAGACUCCUACGGGAGGCAGCAGUGGGGAAUAUUGGACAAUGGGCGAAAGCCUGAUCCAGCAAUGCCGCGUGAGUGAUGAAGGCCUUAGGGUUGUAAAGCUCUUUUACCCGGGAUGAUAAUGACAGUACCGGGAGAAUAAGCUCCGGCUAACUCCGUG